GACGAACGCUGGCGGCGUGCCUAAUACAUGCAAGUAGAACGCACAGUUUAUACCGUAGCUUGCUACACCAUAAACUGUGAGUUGCGAACGGGUGAGUAACGCGUAGGUAACCUGCCUGGUAGCGGGGGAUAACUAUUGGAAACGAUAGCUAAUACCGCAUAAUAUUGAUUAUUGCAUGAUAAUUGAUUGAAAGAUGCUAUUGCAUCACUACCAGAUGGACCUGCGUUGUAUUAGCUAGUAGGUGAGGUAACGGCUCACCUAGGCGACGAUACAUAGCCGACCUGAGAGCGUGAUCGCCCACACUGGCACUGAGACACGGCCCAGACUCCUGCGGGAGGCAGCAGUAGGGAAUCUUCGGCAAUGGACGAGAGUCUGACCGAGCAACGCCGCGUGAGUGAAGAAGGUGUUCGGAUCGUAAAGCUCUGUUGUAAGUGAAGAACGAGUGUGAGAGUGGAAAGUUCACACUGUGACGGUAUCGUACCAGAAAGGCCCGGCUACCUACGU
rnacentral:rRNA from 1 species